GAUGAACGCUGACAGAAUGCUUAACACAUGCAAGUCAACUGUGGCGGACGGGUGAGUAACGCGUAAAGAACUUUCCUCACAGAUAGGGACAACAUUUGGAAACGAAUGCUAAUACCUGAUACUGGGGGAGAGCUUUGCGUCCAAUUAGCUAGUUGGAGAGGUAACGGCUCACCAAGGCGAUGAUGGGUAGCCGGCCUGAGAGGGUGAUCGGCCACAAGCGGACUGAGACCAGGCCAUUAUUCCUACGGGAGGAAGGAGUGGGGAAUAGAGGACAAUGGACCGAAGUCUGAACCAGCAAUGCUGGGUGCAAAAUGAAGUUGUCGGAAUGUAAAGUGUUUUCGGUUGGGAAGCGGUACCAGCAGAAGAAGUAACGGCUAAAUACGUGCCAGCAGCCGCGGUAAUAC
rnacentral:rRNA from 1 species